UGAGGUUGAUUGGAGGCAUUAAGAGGCUCUAUACAUUAAAAAUGAAAGAGAACCCAGAUUACGUGACAUUGGAAAUUGUUUGCGUUUCAUGACCAAGAGGAUGGUGCGGUUAGUAGAUUGAAUGUAUCAUAAAUUCUGCUCACCUUAGGCCUUCAGGGACUUGCCGAUAGCGAGGAGGCGAGGACGGAGGAACGGCUGCCCACGGUGCG